rnacentral:rRNA from 1 species
UACGUAGGGCGCAAGCGUUGUCCGGAAUUAUUGGGCGUAAAGAGCUCGUAGGCGGUCUGUCGCGUCGGCUGUGAAAACCCGGAGCUCAACUCCGGGCCUGCAGUCGAUACGGGCAGACUGGAGUUCGGCAGGGGAGACUGGAAUUCCUGGUGUAGCGGUGAAAUGCGCAGAUAUCGGGAGGAACACCGGUGGCGAAGGCGGUUCUC